rnacentral:rRNA from 1 species
AAAAGGGUAGCAAUACUCUGAGUAAAGUGGCGCACGGGUGAGUAAUAUGUAAGUAAUCUGCCCUUGGCUUUGGAAUAACGCAGAGAAAUUUGCGCUAAUACCGAAUAAUGCAGCGGCAUCGCAUGAUGAUGUUGUUAAGGGUGCAGCAAUGUAACGGCUAGGGAUGAGCUUGCAUCUGAUUAGCUUGUUGGUAGGGUAACGGCCUACCAAGGCUACGAUCAGUAGCUGGUCUGAGAGGAUGAUCAGCCACACUGGAACUGAGACACGGUCCAGACUCCUACGGGAGGCAGCAGUGAGGAAUAUUGGGCAAUGCCCGCAAGGGUGACCCAGCAACGCCGCGUGGAGGAUGAAUGCCGUAAGGUUGUAAACUCCUGUGAGAUGGGAUGAAAGUGCAGAAUUCGUAAGGGUUCUGCUUUGACCGUACCAUCAGAGGAAACCCCGGCUAACUACGUGCCAGCAGCCGCGGUAAUACGUAGGGGGUGAGCGUUGUCCGGAUUUACUGGGUGUAAAGGGCGCGUAGGCGGGCCCGUAAGUCAGAGGUGAAAGCCUGCAGCUUAACUGCAGAACUGCCUUUGAUACUGCGGGUCUUGAAUUCAGAAGAGAGAGAUGGAAUUCCAGGUGUAGUGGUGAAAUACGUAGAUAUCUGGAAGAACACCAGUGGCGAAGGCGAUCUCUUGGUCUGAUAUUGACGCUGAGGCGCGAAAGCGUGAGUAACAAACAGGAUUAGAUACCCUGGUAGUCCACGCUGUAAACGAUGAAUACUAGAUGUUGGGCAGAAAUGUUCAGUGUCGCAGCUAACACAUUAAGUAUUCCACCUGGGGAGUACGAUCGCAAGGUUGAAACUCAAAGGAAUUGACGGGGGCCCGCACAAGCAGUGGAGCAUGUGGUUUAAUUCGAUGCAACGCGAAGAACCUUACCUGGGCUUGAAAGGCAAGUGACCGGGUGUGAAAGCACCCUUCCCUUCGGGGCACUUGUACAGGUGCUGCAUGGCUGUCGUCAGCUCGUGCCGUGAGGUGUUGGGUUAAGUCCCGCAACGAGCGCAACCCUUACUAUUAGUUGCCAUCAGGUCAAGCUGGGCACUCUAAUAGGACUGCCUACGCAAGUAGUGAGGAAGGUGGGGAUGACGUCAAGUCCGCAUGGCCCUUACGCCCAGGGCCACACACGUGCUACAAUGGAUACAACAGAGGGUAGCCAAACCGCAAGGUGGAGCCAAUCCCAUAAAAGUAUCCUCAGUUCGGAUUGGAGUCUGCGACUCGACUCCAUGAAGUUGGAAUUGCUAGUAAUCGCGCAUCAGCACGGCGCGGUGAAUACGUUCCCGGGCCUUGUACACACCGCCCGUCAAGCCAUGGAAGCCAGGGGUACCCGAAGUCAGUGUUC